GAUGAACGCUGGCGGCGUGCCUAAUACAUGCAAGUCGAGCGAAUGGAUUAAGAGCUUGCUCUUAUGAAGUUAGCGGCGGACGGGUGAGUAACACGUGGGUAACCUGCCCAUAAGACUGGGAUAACUCCGGGAAACCGGGGCUAAUACCGGAUAAUAUUUUGAACUGCAUGGUUCAAAAUUGAAAGGCGGCUUCGGCUGUCACUUAUGGAUGGACCCGCGUCGCAUUAGCUAGUUGGUGAGGUAACGGCUCACCAAGGCAACGAUGCGUAGCCGACCUGAUAGGGUGAUAGGCCACACUGGGACUGCGACACGGCCCAGACUCCUACGGGAGGCAGCAGUAGGGAAUCUUCCGCAAUGGACGAAAGUCUGACGGAGCAACGCCGCGUGAGUGAUGAAGGCUUUCGGGUCGUAAAACUCUGUUGUUAGGGAAGAACAAGUGCUAGUUGAAUAAGCUGGCACCUUGACGGUACCUAACCAGAAAGCCACGGCUAACUACGUGCCAGCCGCCGCGGUAA
rnacentral:rRNA from 1 species